AUUGAACGCUGGCGGCAUGCCUUACACAUGCAAGUCGAACGGCAGCACGGGUGCUUGCACCUGGUGGCGAGUGGCGAACGGGUGAGUAAUACAUCGGAACAUGUCCUGUAGUGGGGGAUAGCCCGGCGAAAGCCGGAUUAAUACCGCAUACGAUCUACGGAUGAAAGCGGGGGACCUUCGGGCCUCGCGCUAUAGGGUUGGCCGAUGGCUGAUUAGCUAGUUGGUGGGGUAAAGGCCUACCAAGGCGACGAUCAGUAGCUGGUCUGAGAGGACGACCAGCCACACGGGGACUGGGACACGGCCCAGACGCCUACGGGAGGCAGCAGUGGGGAAUUUUGGACAAUGGGCGAAAGCCUGAUCCAGCAAUGCCGCGUGUGUGAAGAAGGCCUUCGGGGUGUAAAGCACUUUUGUCCGGAAAGAAAUCCUUGGCCCUAAUACGGUCGGGGGAUGACGGUACCGGAAGAAUAAGCACCGGCUAACUACGUG
rnacentral:rRNA from 1 species